UUGAGAGUUUGAUCCUGGCUCAGAACGAACGCUGGCGGCAGGCCUAACACAUGCAAGUCGAGCGAGAACUUCGGUUCUAGCGGCGGACGGGUUAGUAACGCGUGGGAACGUGCCCUUCACUACGGAAUAGUCCCGGGAAACUGGGUUUAAUACCGUAUACG
rnacentral:rRNA from 1 species